rnacentral:lncRNA from 1 species
GCCCCGCCCCGCCCCGCCCCGCCCCGCCCCGCCCCGCCCGCCGCCCGCCCGCCCCGCCCCGCCCGCCCCGCCCCGCCCCGCCCCGCCCGCCGCCCGCCCGCCGCCCGCCCCGCCCCGCCCGCCGCCCGCCCGCCGCCCGCCCGCCCCGCCCCGCCCGCCCCGCCCCGCCCGCCGCCCGCCCCGCCCCGCCCGCCCCGCCCCGCCCGCCGCCCGCCCGCCCCGCCCCGCCCGCCGCCCGCCCCGCCCGCCGCCCGCCCCGCCCGCCGCCCGCCCCGCCCCGCCCGCCCCGCCCGCCCCGCCGCCCGCCCCCCGCCCCGCGUGAAGCGAAGGAAUGGGGGGAAGAAGAGAGAAAGGGGCGCCGGCUGCGCGCGUCGGGGGUUCGGCCGGGGCGGGGCGCGGGUGGUGGGUCGCCGCGUGUGCGGGAGAGCGUUCCAGGGGCCGGUCGUGCGGCGGCUGCGGGUGGCAGGGCCGGAGGGCCCUCUGCGAGGCUCCGCCCCCUCGAGGCGCCUGGUUGGAAACCCGUGGGGCUCCCUUGCCGUUGGCCCGCGGUCCUGUUCCCCGUCGCUCUUCGCCGGCGCCUCGUUGCCCUUGCCGCCAGGCCGUCCGUGUCGUGGCCUCCUCCGUUCGGCUACCAAACCCGGUGGCGCGCUCUGGUGUGUGGGCGCUUCCCAGGCCCGCUGCGGCCUCCUCUCCGUGUCCGCCGCCACCGUCCGGCCCGGCGGCGGUGUUGUGUGCAGACGGGGGGGAUCGUCCGUCCCCUUCCUCCGCCGUGCCCCCCCCCCCCCCCCCGCCCCGCCCGCCCCGCCGCCCGCCCCGCCGCCCGCCCCGCCGCCCGCCCCGCCGCCCGCCCCGCCGCCCGCCCGCCCCGCCCGCCCCGCCCCGCCCCGCCCGCCCCCCCGGUGGAGGGGUGCCCGGGUCUCGGCCCGGCCCCCGCCCCGCGUGAGCGUGUGCGCCGGCCUGCUGUGCCAGCCUCGGCGCGACCUGUCCGGGGCUCCGUCCCUCGCUCGCGCGCCGCCACCGGGUUGUUGGGGGUCGGCGCGCGUUGGAGGGGGGGACGUGUGCGUGUCCUCCCCCGCCUCUCCACGCCGUCGCCGGUGUUGGCCCGGUCCCGCGGGGGCGGGGUCGGUCAGUCCGUCACGCUCGCUCGCUGCGGGGUGGGACGGGGCCCGUCUUGAGUGGGCGCGGCGCGCGCGCCUGCUCCUCCGCCUUUUCCUCCCCGCGGGCUCCCGCGCCCCGGGGGGGAGGGGGGCCGCCGCCGCCCCGCCCGCCCCGCCCCGCCCCGCCGCCCGCCCCGCCCCGCCCCGCCCCGCCGCCCGCCCGCCCCGCCCGCCCCGCCCGCCCCGCCCGCCCCGCCCCGCCCCGCCGCCCGCCCCGCCCCCCCGGUGCGCGCUCUCUCUGGCUCACCGCGCUCCUACCUGGUUGAUCCUGCCAGUAGCAUAUGCUUGUCUCAAAGAUUAAGCCAUGCAUGUCUAAGUACGCACGGCUGGUACAGUGAAACUGCGAAUGGCUCAUUAAAUCAGUUAUGGUUCCUUUGGUCGCUCGCUCCUCUCCUACUUGGAUAACUGUGGUAAUUCUAGAGCUAAUACAUGCCGACGGGCGCUGACCCCCCUCGCGGGGGGGAUGCGUGCAUUUAUCAGAUCAAAACCAACCCGGUCAGCCUCCCCCCGGCCCCGGCCGGGGGGCGGGCGCCGGCGGCUUUGGUGACUCUAGAUAACCUCGGGCCGAUCGCACGCCCCCCGUGGCGGCGACGACCCAUUCGAACGUCUGCCCUAUCAACUUUCGAUGGUAGUCGCCGUGCCUACCAUGGUGACCACGGGUGACGGGGAAUCAGGGUUCGAUUCCGGAGAGGGAGCCUGAGAAACGGCUACCACAUCCAAGGAAGGCAGCAGGCGCGCAAAUUACCCACUCCCGACCCGGGGAGGUAGUGACGAAAAUAACAAUACAGGACUCUUUCGAGGCCCUGUAAUUGGAAUGAGUCCACUUUAAAUCCUUUAACGAGGAUCCAUUGGAGGGCAAGUCUGGUGCCAGCAGCCGCGGUAAUUCCAGCUCCAAUAGCGUAUAUUAAAGUUGCUGCAGUUAAAAAGCUCGUAGUUGGAUCUUGGGAGCGGGCGGGCGGUCCGCCGCGAGGCGAGCCACCGCCCGUCCCCGCCCCUUGCCUCUCGGCGCCCCCUCGAUGCUCUUAGCUGAGUGUCCCGCGGGGCCCGAAGCGUUUACUUUGAAAAAAUUAGAGUGUUCAAAGCAGGCCCGAGCCGCCUGGAUACCGCAGCUAGGAAUAAUGGAAUAGGACCGCGGUUCUAUUUUGUUGGUUUUCGGAACUGAGGCCAUGAUUAAGAGGGACGGCCGGGGGCAUUCGUAUUGCGCCGCUAGAGGUGAAAUUCUUGGACCGGCGCAAGACGGACCAGAGCGAAAGCAUUUGCCAAGAAUGUUUUCAUUAAUCAAGAACGAAAGUCGGAGGUUC